UCUAAGUAUAAGCAUUAUACCGUGAAACUGCGAAUGGCUCAUUAAAUCAGUUAUCGUUUAUUUGAUAGUACCUUACUACUUGGAUACCCGUGGUAAUUCUAGAGCUAAUACAUGCAAAAAACCCCGACUUCGGGAGGGGUGUAUUUAUUAGAUAAAAAACCAAUGCCCUUCGGGGCUCUUUGGUGAUUCAUGAUAACUUAACGGAUCGCAUGGCCUUGCGCCGGCGACGGUUCAUUCAAAUUUCUGCCCUAUCAACUUUCGAUGGUAAGGUAUUGGCUUACCAUGGUUUCAACGGGUAACGGAUUUUUAGGGAAAGAUCCCGGAGAGGGAGCCUGAGAAACGGCUACCACAUCCAAGGAAGGCAGCAGGCGCGCAAAUUACCCAAUCCCGACACGGGGAGGUAGUGACAAUAAAUACUGAUACAGGGCUCUUUUGGGUCUUGUAAUCGGAAUGAGUACAAUUUAAAUACCUUAACGAGGAACAAUUGGAGGGCAAGUCUGGUGCCAGCAGCCGCGGUAAUUCCAGCUCCAAUAGCGUAUAUUAAAGUUGUUGCAGUUAAAAAGCUCGUAGUUGAACCUUGGGCCUGGCUGGCCGGUCCGCCUCACCGCGUGUACUGGUCCGGCCGGGCCUUUCCUUCUGGAGAACCCCAUGCCCUUCACUGGGCGUGGCGGGGAACCAGGACUUUUACUUUGAGAAAAUUAGAGUGUUCAAAGCAGGCCUUUGCUCGAAUACGUUAGCAUGGAAUAAUAGAAUAGGACGUGUGGUUCUAUUUUGUUGGUUUCUAGAACCGCCGUAAUGAUUAAUAGGGAUAGUCGGGGGCGUCAGUAUUCAAUUGUCAGAGGUGAAAUUCUUGGAUCUAUUGAAGACUAACUACUGCGAAAGCAUUCGCCAAGGAUGUUUUCAUUAAUCAGUGAACGAAAGUUAGGGGAUCGAAGACGAUCAGAUACCGUCGUAGUCUUAACCGUAAACUAUGCCGACUAGGGAUCGGGCGAUGUUUCUAUCUUGACUCGCUCGGCACCUUACGAGAAAUC
rnacentral:rRNA from 1 species